GGGUCAGUAGGUUGUGCGUGCCACCGGUACGUACUGGUCUCACUGAUUCCUCCUUCCUGAAGAACCGUAAUGCCAUUAAUUUGGUGUUGCGGGGAAACAGGACUGUUACUUUGAAAAAAUUAGAGUGUUUAAAGCAAGCUAACGCUUGAAUACAUUAGCAUGGAAUAAUGAAAUAGGACGAUCGAUCCUAUUUUGUUGGUUUCUAGGAUUGACGUA
rnacentral:rRNA from 1 species